GACGAACCGUGCGAACGUUAUUCGGAAUCACUGGGCUUAAAGCGCGUGUAGGCGGGACGGCACGUCGGUCGCUGAAAUCCCCCGGCUCAACCGGGGAACGGGCACCGAUACGACCGGCCUGGAGGGACGUAGGGGGACCUGGAACUUCCGGUGGAGCGGUGAAAUGCGUUGAGAUCGGAAGGAACGCCCGUGGCGAAAGCGAGGUCCUGGACGUUUACUGACGCUGAGACGCGAAAGCCAGGGGAGCGAACGGG
rnacentral:rRNA from 1 species